AGUUAAAUAAUUAAUGGACUUUCUGCCUCCUAACUUUGUAGUACAAACUGGUGAAUCAUCACAGAUCUUUCAGUGUUACCUUUAGGGAAACAGGGGCACUACCUUCAAAAAUCUCCUAUUAUAGGCUGAGAUGCUGAUGAAAUGUCAAGUAGAUCAUAUCUGCCUCAUCUUCUGAAUAUAAAGCUCCUGACAAUCAGAAUCUUCUCAUGUGAUGGACAUCUUCUACAUGCAAUACCGAUUUCUAAAUUUGAAAGCUCCGUGGAUCCCAAGCACAGCUGGAACAUAAGGAAAACCAAAAACCUGAAAUUCUUCAAAUCACGGUGCACUUUAUCAAGAAUUAAAUUGAUCUUGCGUACCACUCUUUAGGAAUCUUUGGCACAAGCUAUUUUAUUCUGCUUCAGAGAUCUGGAAUGAAGUUGUGCUUUGUGCUACAUUUUAUUAAGAACACUAUAAGCGAUGAAAACUGUGUAUUAGAACAAUUAUGCCUCAGGGUGAAUGUAUCCACUUGCAUAGCUGCUACUGAAGUUACUGGCUGUCCUCCAAAUUCGAGAGAGAUAAUAACGAACUGGGCACUGGACUGAGUAACAGAGGAAUUCGUAUAAAUCCAUAAGUCGUGAGUAAAUAGCUUAGCACCCCUUCAGGCCUCAUCUCUUGGAUCUCGGUAAGUCAAUUAUAUAUAAUAGUUACAUUUACUACCUCUGCUGUUAUCCAAUUUACAAAUGAACUACACCUCUCUGUCACAUCCAUUUAUUUCCUAUUUAAUUCCUUUCUUUUUUGGCAUUUUCA